rnacentral:lncRNA from 1 species
GGCGCCUCUUGUUGGAUUUCAGUGAUGCAGCAGAAUGUAAAUUUCAAAAAUUUUUUCAUGUAUUCAAAUAUUGAAAAUAAGUUUAAUAAUUAAACUAGACUAUAAGAACACAAAAGUCUUAGGAACACCUUGAUGAUUGCAAUCAAACAUCAUAAGCAUGUAUAUAAGCAAGGGAUCAGAUGUCAUAUACCAACAUAAAGAUGAUGAUCUGAUAAUUAUAAGAUCUUCAAAAGACUCUAAAGUAGAAGCCCUCUAGUGGUGAUCCACACGGGAC